rnacentral:rRNA from 1 species
UACGGAGGAUGCGAGCGUUAUCCAGAUUUAUUGGGUUUAAAGGGUGCGUAUGCGGGAUGCCAAGUCAGCGGUAAAAAUGCGGUGCUCAACGCCGUCGAGCCGUUGAAACUGGCGUUCUUGAGUGGGCGAGAAGUAUGCGGAAUGCGUGGUGUAGCGGUGAAAUGCAUAGAUAUCACGCAGAACUCCGAUUGCGAAGGCAGCAUACCGGCGCCCUACUGACGCUGAGGCACGAAAGCGUGGGUAUCGAACAGG